UGGGGAAUAUUGGACAAUGGGGGAAACCCUGAUCCAGCCAUGCCGCGUGCGUGAAGAAGGCCUCAGGGUUGUAAAGCGCUUUCGGCGGGGAAGAUGAUGACGGUACCCGCAGAAGAAGCCCCGGCUAACUCCGUGCCAGCAGCCGCGGUGAUACGGAGGGGGCAAGCGUUGUUCGGAAUUACUGGGCGUAAAGCGUGCGUAGGUGGUUUGUUAAGUCAGGUGUGAAAUCCCGGGGCUCAACCUCGAAAUGGCGCUUGAUACUGGCAGACUCGAGUGUGGUAGAGGAUAGUGGAAUUCCCGGUGUAGCGGUGAAAUGCGUAGAUAUCGGGAGGAACAUCAGUGGCGAAGGCGGCUAUCUGGACCAACACUGACACUGAGGUACGAAAGCGUGGGUAGCAAACAGGAUUAGAUACCCUGGUAGUCCACGCCCUAAACGAUGGGUACUAGACGUCGGGAAGCUUGUCUUCUUGGUGUCGCAGCUAACGCAAUAAGUACCCCGCCUGGGGAGUACGGUCGCAAGAUUA
rnacentral:rRNA from 1 species